CCUACGGGAGGCAGCAGUGGGGAAUAUUGCACAAUGGGGGAAACCCUGAUGCAGCGACGCCGCGUGAGUGAAGAAGUAUUUCGGUACGUAAAGCUCUAUCAGCAGGGAAGAAAAUGACGGUACCUGACUAAGAAGCCCCGACUAACUACGUGCCAGCAGCCGCGGUAAUACGUAGGGGGCAAGCGUUAUCCGGAUUUACUGGGUGUAAAGGGAGCGUAGACGGCAGCGCAAGUCUGGAGUGAAAUCCCAUGGCUUAACCAUGGAACUGCUUUGGAAACUGUGCAGCUAGAGUGCAGGAGAGGUAAGCGGAAUUCCUAGUGUAGCGGUGAAAUGCGUAGAUAUUAGGAGGAACACCAGUGGCGAAGGCGGCUUACUGGACUGUAACUGACGUUGAGGCUCGAAAGCGUGGGGAGCAAACAGGAUUAGAUACCCCAGUAGUC
rnacentral:rRNA from 1 species